rnacentral:rRNA from 1 species
AACGAACGCUGGCGGCAGGCUUAACACAUGCAAGUCGAACGCCCCGCAAGGGGAGUGGCAGACGGGUGAGUAACACGUGGGAACAUGCCCAAAGGUACGGAAUAUUCUCGGGAAACUGGGAGCAAUACCGUAUGUGCCCGAAAGGGGAAAGAUUUAUCGCCUUUGGAUUGGCCCGCGUUGGAUUAGCUAGUUGGUGGGGUAAAAGCCUACCAAGGCGACGAUUCAUAGCUGGUCUGAGAGGACGACCAGCCACACUGGGACUGAGACACGGCCCAGACUCCUACGGGAGGCAGCAGUGGGGAAUCUUGGACAAUGGGCGCAAGCCUGAUCCAGCCAUGCCGCGUGAGUGAUGAAGGCCCUAGGGUUGUAAAACUCUUUCGUGGGGGACGAUAAUGACGGUACCCCAAGAAGAAGCUCCGGCUAACUUCGUGCCAGCCGCCGCGGUAAUAC